rnacentral:rRNA from 1 species
UACGUAGGGGGCUAGCGUUGUCCGGAAUCAUUGGGCGUAAAGCGCGUGUAGGCGGCCCGAUAAGUCCGCUGUGAAAGUCCAGGGCUCAACCCUGGGAUGCCGGUGGAUACUGUCGGGCUCGAGUCCGGAAGAGGCGAGUGGAAUUCCGUGGUGUAGCGGUGAAAUGCGCAGAUAUCAGGAGGAACACCAAUGGCGAAGGCAGCUCGCUGGGACGUGACUGACGCUGAGACGCGAAAGCGUGGGGAGCAAACGGG